rnacentral:rRNA from 1 species
CGCUGGCGGCAUGCUUUACACAUGCAAGUCGAACGGCAGCACGGGGGCAACCCUGGUGGCGAGUGGCGAACGGGUGAGUAAUGCAUCGGAACGUGUCCUUAAGUGGGGGAUAACGCACCGAAAGGUGUGCUAAUACCGCAUAAUCUCUACGGAGAAAAGCAGGGGAUCGCAAGACCUUGCGCUUUUGGAGCGGCCGAUGUCUGAUUAGCUAGUUGGUGAGGUGAAGGCUUACCAAGGCGUCGAUCAGUAGCUGGUCUGAGAGGACGACCAGCCACACUGGGACUGAGACACGGCCCAGACUCCUACGGGAGGCAGCAGUGGGGAAUUUUGGACAAUGGGGGAAACCCUGAUCCAGCCAUGCCGCGUGAGUGAAGAAGGCCUUCGGGUUGUAAAGCCCUUUC